CAACGGUCGAUGGUUUUGAUUUUAAUUCCAAACUCACCGACAGCGUUGAAUGUUCACUGAAGCAACCUCUAAACUCAGAAUUCUGUUGACUUUACAGCCUCUGUCAGAUGAAUGACACCAAAAUUUGGCAAAUAAUACUGAUUUGAAAGCUUGGAGAAAACACACCGUUCUGUGAAGCCACACUGCAAGACUGUCUCUGAUAAGAGUUGGGGCUGUUGAGAAGCCUUUGCCUGGUGUUUAUUGUUACCCAGCUCUCGCCUGUUAUAAGAAGAAGCCCUCGAAUGGAGCCACCCUGAGAGAACAGUCUCAGCAUGUUCUGAGCUCAAAGCAUAUGCUGAAAGAUGAAAAUCCUAAUUGCAGACUGAUGUGCCCAUGGUGUUUUGUUUAGGUUACAUGAAGACCAGAAAAUGGGUUUCGUUUCAAUAUUGGAAUAGAAAAUAUUUUGUUCGAAAAACAAAAGGGAAGAAGAGAAAUGAAAACAAACUGUAAGAAACAUUGUUUAGGAUUUGCAAAUUUGCUGAUCUCCUUAGAUGUUUUGGCUUCUUUAUGAUUUUAAUACAUGCAUUCUAUUUGAGAGAGAGCUAGAUGAACUGACCAGAUGCUUCAAAAUGAAAAGCCUUCUGAUAUUCCAAUAAAAUAUUCAGGUCACUAUUUUUGUCUCUUUACGGACAUGUUUACAUCAGAAUACAUCUACUGUCUAUUAGCACUUUACUAUUUUCUAUUUUAAAGGAGAGAGGCCAAUGUUCUUGUGCAAAGUGAAUUUUGAGCAAGGCAGAGCAGUUACGUGGGAGGUUUUGGGAGACCCAAGUAAAGUCUGCCUCUUAAUGACCAGGCACAAGCUCCAGGGAGGUUGGGGAUUAACAGCUCACAUGCUUGAAGGUGUGAUCCAUAUUCUGCAAAAUGAUCAGCUGUAGCAGUGAUAAAGGUGAUAUAUUUCCAAUUGUUUUACUUUUUAUUUUCAUUCAGAACCUGAGGAAAAAUGGUGUUAUUUAUUGACUGCCUCAAGAACUUCAAAUACAGUCCUUAAUGCAUUGCUUGAAACAAAUUAACAUAUCUUUGUUUCUUGAAUUCGAGCAAGAUAUUAUCAACACAUACACACACACAUACACACACUUCACUUUAUACUAUUAUUGCAAUACUGUAUUUAUUGUUUAAAUUUUGAUUCAGAAA
ensembl:lncRNA